AACGAACGCUGGCGGCAUGCCUAACACAUGCAAGUCGAACGAGACCUUCGGGUCUAGUGGCGCACGGGUGCGUAACGCGUGGGAACCUGCCCUUAGGUUCGGAAUAACUCCCCGAAAGGGGUGCUAAUACCGGAUAAUGUCUUCGGACCAAAGAUUUAUCGCCUUUGGAUGGGCCCGCGUUGGAUUAGCUAGUUGGUAGGGUAAAAGCCUACCAAGGCGACGAUCCAUAGCUGGUCUGAGAGGAUGAUCAGCCACACUGGGACUGAGACACGGCCCAGACUCCUACGGGAGGCAGCAGUGGGGAAUAUUGGACAAUGGGCGAAAGCCUGAUCCAGCAAUGCCGCGUGAGUGGUGAAGGCCUUAGGGUUGUAAAGCUCUUUUACCCGGGAUGAUAAUGACAGUACCGGGAGAAUAAGCACCGGCUAACUCCGUG
rnacentral:rRNA from 1 species